rnacentral:lncRNA from 1 species
AUGGCGGCUAGCAGCUCUUCCGGCCUCGCGCAGGGCACCAACCCGUCGUCCAGGUAACGAGCCCCGUGGGCGGCGAGGCGCCCCAACCCCGCGGGACUCGGUCGUGAGUCACGGGGAGCGGGGCGGGCCCGAGGCGGGGCGACGGCCCCUGGGGUCCGCGGGAGGGCGGGGCGGGGAGUCCGGGGAGUGACAGGCAGGGUGGGGGCGGGGACCCCGUGGGGAUAGGGCUAGCCUAGGAGGGACCGACCUGGAUGGGUAGGGUGGGGACCGAGGAUGGAGGACAGAGUUGGGGGAGGGGACUGACCUCAGAGAGGACCUGAGACCUUGGGGAACCUUCCAAGCGGGAAUAGGGUGGGGUGUUCUGGCCCCUGAUGGAUAGAAUUGGAGUUUUUGGUGUCUGAUGUAUGGGGGAAUCCUCCAGGCAGGGAUGGAGUCAGAGUUCUGGUUCCUGAUGGAUGGAGGACCCUCGAGACGGGGAUGGAGUCUGGGGUUCUGAUGUCUAGUGGAUGGGGGACCCUCCAGAUGGGCCUGAAUUGGGGGUUCUAAUCCCUGAUGAAUGGGGGACCCUCCAGGUGAGUAUGGAUUGGGGGUUCUGGUGUCUGACAGAUGGGUUACCCUCUAGACAGGGAUGAAUUUGGGUUCAGUCCCUGAUGGAUGGGGGGCUCUCCAGACGAGGAUGGGGUCUGGGGUUCUGUGUCUAAUGGAUGGGGGGCUAAGCUAGGCAGGGUAAAGUGAGCCUCUGGUCUUUGGAAGUCAGUAAAGCACAGGCAAGUGGCACAGGCUUCCAAUCCAAUCUUUGAAGAGAGAAGCUGAGGCAGUGUGUGUGUGUCUAAGUUCAGGGCUAGCCUGAGCUACAGUGAGUAUGAGGCCAGGCUGAAGAACUAAAGGAGAUGUUGUCUCUAAAUAAAAGGCCACAUGAAUAAUGUCCGUGCCAAGUGGAGAGAAGGCGCUUGGCUGUGUGUGAGGAGUUGGGGGCUGACGGCUGGGGACGAGUGUCCUCUUCACUCAGUGGCUUGGUUAGGGUUACAGUUGCAGUGAUAACACACCCGGGCCAAGAGCUGGUGAGAGGGUCACUGUGGGGACCAGAGUUCCAGGUCUGUAAGUCAGGCAAGUCCACUGCCGUAGCACAACACACACAAAUAUACAAAUGAUG